UCCACAUUGAUCUGGUACUCCCUGUAUAUAGCUCCACACUGAUCUGGUACUUCCUGUAUACAGCUCCACAUUGAUCUGGUACUCCCUGUAUAUAGCUCCACAUUGAUCUGGUACUCCCUGUAUAUAGCUCCACAUUGAUCUGGUACUCCCUGUAUAUAGCUCCACAUUGAUCUGGUACUCCCUGUAUAUAGCUCCACAUUGAGCCUGUACUUCCGUAUACUCCAGUGUAUUUAGUAUUAUUCCCCGUUUUACAUUAUUUAAUGUUUUAACUCUGCAUCGUUGAGAAGGGCUAGUAACCAAUCAUUACAUUGGGGACAUUGCCCUGUGUACGGUGCUGUCUUUCAGAUGGGAUGUUAAAUGGGUGUCCUGACUCUCUGAGGUCACUAAAGAUCCCAUGGCGCUUAUCGUAAGAGUAGGGGCGUUAACCCCUGGUGUCCUGGCUAAAUUCCCAAGAUGGCCACCUAAUCAUCCCCAGCUUCCAAUUGGCUCAUUCAUCCCCUUCCUCUCCCCUGUAACUAUUCCCCAGGUCGUUGCUGUAAAUGAGAACGUGUUCUCAGUCAACUUACCUGGUAAAAUAACGGUAAAAUAAAAAUAAAAUAUAAAACAAUGUUAAAGUCUACAAACAGUAGGUAUUCGGCACACGUGACAUAAAACUUGAUUUAUAGUUUUGAAGAAGAGGAUAUUUUCCAGAAGACCCAGGGGGUGGCGCCACCGUGUGGACAGCAGGUGUAAAUGCAGCAGCAGCGUAGCAACAUGAACGCUCUCCUUUCCUCCUCACUGCUCCCUCACCAGAGACGCCACAUGGACAUUAUACAUGGCUGCCUGCAGACGACACAAACAGACAAAGAUGGCCGUCAUAACCAACAUAAUAAAACAAUAACCUCUAGCUUAGGGUCAGGGGUCAGCUGUAUGAAGCCUACCUCAGGGUCAGGAGAAACAGACAGGUUUCAGCUGGGUCAGGAGAGGAGAAACAGACAGGUGUAGGUCUGAGAUCAGAUCAAGAGAGGAGCAACUCUGAGCUAAAACAGACCGAAUCGAGUACCUUGAAUCCAAUGAUGAAAAGGCUGAGUGUGUCCAGGACAGUCAGACACACUACCCCGAGUACGCUGCAGAACAGACACACUACCCC
rnacentral:lncRNA from 1 species